rnacentral:rRNA from 1 species
UACGUAGGCAGCGAGCGUUGUUCGGAGUUACUGGGCGUAAAGAGUGCGUAGGCGGUGUUCCAAGUCUGUUGUGAAAUCUCCCGGCUCAACUGGGAGGGUGCGGCGGAAACUGGGACGCUGAAGUACGGGAGAGGUAAGCGGAAUUCCUGGUGUAGCGGUGAAAUGCGUAGAUAUCAGGAGGAACACCUGCGGUGUAGACGGCUUACUGGACCGUAACUGGCGCUGAGGCACGAAAGCGUGGGUAGCAAACAGG